rnacentral:rRNA from 1 species
CUGUGGUAAUUCUAGAGCUAAUACAUGCCACGAAGCGCCGACCUUACGGAAGGCGUGCUUUUAUUAGGAUCAAGACCAACACGGGCUUGCCCGGCUUCGUUGGUGAACUCUGGAUAACUUCGCAGAUCGCAUUGUCAUCGAACAGGCGACAUUUCUUUCAAACGUCUGACCUAUCAAUUUUCGAUGGUACGAUAUGCGCCUACCAUGGUGCUAACGGGUGACGGGGAAUCAGGGUUCGAUUCCGGAGAGGGAGCCUGAGAAAUGGCUACCACAUCCAAGGAAGGCAGCAGGCGCGCAAAUUACCCACUCUCGACACGAGGAGGUAGUGACGAAAAAUAACAAUACAGGACUCUUUCGAGGCCCUGUAAUUGGAAUGAGUACACUUUAAAUCCUUUAACGAGGAUCUACUGGAGGGCAAGUCUGGUGCCAGCAGCCGCGGUAAUUCCAGCUCCAGUGGCGUAUAUUAAUACUGCUGCAGUUAAAAAGCUCGUAGUUGGAUCUAGGGCGUAGGCUGAGGGUCCCUCGCAAGGGGUGCACCUCUCAGACCUGGCCUCCCUCGCGGUUUGCGCUCGGUUCUCUUAAUUGAGUGCCGAGUGCUACCGGAACGUUUACUUUGAAAAAAUUGGAGUGUUCAAAGCAGGCGUAACAGCCUGAACAGCAGAGCAUGGAAUAAUGGAAUAGGACCUCGGUUCUAUUGCGUUGGUUUUAAGAGUUACGAGGUAAUGAUUAAGAGGGACUGACGGGGGCAUUCGUAUUGCGGUGUGAGAGGUGAAAUUCUAGGAUCGCCGCAAGACGACCGACAGCGAAAGCAUUUGCCAAGAAUGUCUUCAUUAAUCAAGAACGAAAGUUAGAGGUUCGAAGGCGAUCAGAUACCGCCCUAGUUCUAACCAUAAACUAUGCCACCGGCGAUUCGCCGGCGUUACUCCAAUGACACGGCAGGCA